rnacentral:rRNA from 1 species
UACGUAGGGGGCAAGCGUUGUCCGGAUUUAUUGGGCGUAAAGAGCUCGUAGGCGGUUUGUCGCGUCUGCCGUGAAAGUCCGGGGCUCAACUCCGGAUCUGCGGUGGGUACGGGCAGACUAGAGUGAUGUAGGGGAGACUGGAAUUCCUGGUGUAGCGGUGAAAUGCGCAGAUAUCAGGAGGAACACCGAUGGCGAAGGCAGGUCUCUGGGCAAUAACUGACGCUGAGGAGCGAAAGCGUGGGGAGCGAACAGG